CUUGGCAGGUAUGGAUACUACACCCUGAAUGUGCCCGAUCUCAUCUGAUCUCAGAAGGUAAGUAAGGUCGGACCUGGUUAUCACUUGGAUGAUAGACAGAGGAUGGGUACGCCAAGG
rnacentral:rRNA from 1 species